rnacentral:rRNA from 1 species
UACGUAGGGGGCAAGCGUUGUCCGGAUUUAUUGGGCGUAAAGAGCUCGUAGGCGGCCACUCAAGUCGAAUGUGAAACCUACGAGGCUUAAGCCUCGACGCCUGCAUUCGAUACUGGGCGGCUAGAGUCUGGUAGGGGGAUCUGGAAUUCCUGGUGUAGCGGUGGAAUGCGCAGAUAUCAGGAGGAACACCGGUGGCGAAGGCGGGAUCCUGGCCAGUACGUGACGCUGAGGAGCGAAAGCGAUGGGGAGCAAACAGGG